rnacentral:rRNA from 1 species
GAUCAACGCUGGCGGCGUGCCUAAUACAUGCAAGUCGAGCGAACAGAUGUGGAGCUUGCUCCUCUGACGUUAGCGGCGGACGGGUGAGUAACACGUGGAUAACCUACCUAUAAGACUGGGAUAACUUCGGGAAACCGGAGCUAAUACCGGAUAAUAUAUUGAACCGCAUGGUUCAAUAGUGAAAGACGGUUUUGCUGUCACUUAUAGAUGGAUCCGCGCCGCAUUAGCUAGUUGGUAAGGUAACGGCUUACCAAGGCAACGAUGCGUAGCCGACCUGAGAGGGUGAUCGGCCACACUGGAACUGAGACACGGUCCAGACUCCUACGGGAGGCAGCAGUAGGGAAUCUUCCGCAAUGGGCGAAAGCCUGACGGAGCAACGCCGCGUGAGUGAUGAAGGUCUUCGGAUCGUAAAACUCUGUUAUUAGGGAAGAACAAAUGUGUAAGUAACUAUGCACGUCUUGACGGUACCUAAUCAGAAAGCCACGGCUAACUACGUG